GUCGGGGUGGCAGAGCCCGGUAACUGCAAAAGGUCUAAGCCCUUCCUACAGAGGUUCAAAUCCUCUCCCCAACU
rnacentral:tRNA from 1 species